rnacentral:lncRNA from 1 species
GGGACAAGUCUUUAGCGACGGUAUUAAAUUCUAGUCGUGAAAAGGAUAUUUUUAGCGAUUAGAUCUAAUUUUGGUACUAAAAAUCAAUUUUAUUUAUUUAACGACGAAGGAUAAAAAUCUCGUCCUAGAAAAUGUAAUCUACUGGUCGUUAAGGUCCUAAAAGAGUUGGACCCACAUGCCACCGAAUUUCUCCCUAAAUAUUUAUAAGUUAUAUCAUUUACAAAUAUAAAAAUGAAUUAUAAACAUUCCUCUGUUCAGCAACUUAGCGACUGGCUAGGGUUUACUCCCAUUCUCAACUUUUUCUCAAUCUUCAUCAUUUUUACAGCUUUGUUCCACGAUUUGAUUGAAAGUUGUUCUUGAUUUCUUGGUUCAGUGUCACGAUUUUUAACGGAACAUUUGAAGGAAAAAUAUUAUCAAAUUGGUGAUAACUUCAUUAAUGCUAUCUAUUGCAUUAAGAUGGUGAGUUGUAUCUAUGUUCAGGGACUUUAGGUAAUCAAUCAUAAAAUUUUAUUCCUUAGCUUUUUGAAACCUAUGAAUGGUUGAGGGGCUACAAUUUAUGUUUUCGGCAAUUGUGGAUUUGAAGAUAAUUUUUUUUGUAGUAUUAUAAAUAUAGUUAUGCUAAAUUGGUGUCUUGGAGCUAGAAAAUUUAAUUCAUAUCCUGUAUUCAGUAGAAGACAAACAUCUUUUAAAGUAGAUAUCGUCACUGGUGAAUUCACAAUUGAUGUUAAUUGGUGCAUAUACCUCUUUGUUUUGUUUUUUUUUUCAACUAGAAAGAGGAAAGGCCAAUUUCCUGUUAGCAAAAAGGGAACUUGACAAUAACUAUUAUUCUGUCAAGGCUUUCAAUUUUUCCUAGUAAUUAAAUUAAAAAACAAUGAACAAAAGCAACACUAAGUUCAAAAGUAAUUGUUGCACUAAACAAUCUGCACUGUCUAUAUAUACAUUUUGUAUGCAUAUAUAAGAAGAAACAACACUAUCUCCACUUCAGUUAGAUCAUAGUUUAGAAAUAUUUUUCAAUCUCAUUUUUCAGAGAACAAGUUUUGAAGUUGUUGGGAGUGUUGUCAAGCCCCAUUGCCCAACUAAAUUCGUUAGCAAAUUCAACAUGUUUGUACUUGUCCUUAAUGAUAGACCUAGUGGUAUUAUAAUAACCAAGCCAUGUCUGGUAUGCAAAUUCCUUGCUUUAUAUCUAAUAUAGAAUAACACAUGUUCCACCUCUUUUUGGCCUCUGGAUCUAGCAGAGAUAAAGGUGCAUUUGAUAUGGGCAAAUCUUUAAUCAUAAUAAAGAGAUGAAGAGGCCUUUUUUAUAUGGGAAAAUCUUGGAUAUAUAUUCUCAUCUCAGAAAUCUUUUGAACUGCAACCUUACAGAAAUUCAUACAAUUAGGAUUGGUGAAGAACUGAAGAUUAUGUUAUUGCUAGCUGAUGAGUCAAUGAUCUCAAGUUUAAAUUUCCAUUAGCUCAUGGAUGCAUGCAAUAACUUAUUCCCUUAUUUUUUUAUUAUUUAAACUUUGAAUUAUCAGUUUUAUUAUUACGCGUGGCACAUCUGGAAGGAGGGGGUGGUUCCUGAAGAUGACAGUUGAAUAAACUCGUGAAAUUGGAUUUCCUUCUGUUGUUUCUUAUACGCUUUCACUGACACUACUGAUACCAUGCAGACAUUAAUAUGCAGAUUGACGAGUUUACUAUUGAUACCUAGAAUGCAUAACUAGAUUAAACUCUAAUGUUGUAGUUGUAUCUAGUGUAAGAAUCUAAUGCAACACAGUAUUAAUUUCGAAGAUGUGAUUGGAUUGUAGAAUUUGUUUUCUUCUCUAAAGUUUUAUCAUUUGUUGCUAAAAGAAAAAGUCUAGCUUUGAUGCUAACCCUUGUACUUUUAAAUUGUAUUCGACCGCUGAACGUAAUUUCUUUAAAUAUUUCAGUUGGUCAUCUUAGUGGUGACUUCUAUUUGAAAUGAGCAUUACUAAGAGGUUAUGCUAAGACAGGGGCCAUGAACAAGAUUUGGAGAUUUCUGUUUACAAGUCGAGAUGCAAGUUUGAAUAUUUUCAACAAGUUUUGAUAAUCUGGUCAUCAUUUUGCUACUACAAUUUGGCAAAGUAUUUCAUUAAUUAUAUACUUGGAUAUGUUAGUUGUGCAAAGAAUAUCAUGAUCAUAAUUUUAAAAAGAAUUUGACAUGUAUGUGCGAUGCUAAUUAAUCGUUAGUUUAAUUAAUAUGAUGGGAAAAUACCCAAGUACUCCCUCAACCUAUGCCCGAAAUCCCAGAGACACACUUAUACUAUACUAAUGUCC